rnacentral:tRNA from 1 species
GACUGGAUAGCCUAGUGGUAAAGGCAUCACAUUGACAAUGCUGAGGUCCCAGGUUCAAACCCUGGUCUAGUAA